GCUUGUCUCAAAGAUUAAGCCAUGCAUGUCUAAGUAUAAAUCUUUUACUUUGAAACUGCGAACGGCUCAUUAUAUCAGUUAUAGUUUAUUUGAUAGUCCCUUACUACUUGGAUAACCGUAGUAAUUCUAGAGCUAAUACAUGCGUCAAUACCCUUCUGGGGUAGUAUUUAUUAGAUUGAAACCAACCGCUUCGGCGUGAUGUGGUGAUUCAUAAUAACUUUCGGAUCGAUCUUCGGAUCGAUGCAUCAUUCAAGUUUCUGCCCUAUCAGCUUUGGAUGGUAGGGUAUUGGCCUACCAUGGCUUUAACGGGUAACGGAGAAUUAGGGUUCGAUUCCGGAGAGGGAGCCUGAGAAAUGGCUACCACAUCCAAGGAAGGCAGCAGG
rnacentral:rRNA from 1 species